UCGGGUUGUAAAGCACUUUUGUCCGGAAAGAAAUCCUUGAUCCUAAUAUGGUCGGGGGAUGACGGUACCGGAAGAAUAAGCACCGGCUAACUACGUGCCAGCAGCCGCGGUAAUACGUAGGGUGCGAGCGUUAAUCGGAAUUACUGGGCGUAAAGCGUGCGCAGGCGGUUCGCUAAGACCGAUGUGAAAUCCCCGGGCUUAACCUGGGAACUGCAUUGGUGACUGGCGAGCUAGAGUGUGGCAGAGGGGGGGUAGAAUUUCCACGUGUAGCAGUGAAAUGCGUAGAGAUGUGGAGGAAUACCGAUGGCGAAGGCAGCCCCCCUGGGCUAACACUGACGCUCAUGCACGAAAGCGUGGGGAGCAAACAGGAUUAGAUACCCUGGUAGUCCACGCCCUAAACGAUGUCAACUAGUUGUUGGGGAUUCAUUUCCUUAGUAACGUAGCUAACGCGUGAAGUUGACCGCCUGGGGAGUACGGUCGCAAGAUUAAAACUCAAAGGAAUUGACGGGGACCCGCACAAGCGGUGGAUGAUGUGGAUUAAUUCGAUGCAACGCGAAAAACCUUACCUACCCUUGACAUGGACGGAAUCUUGCUG
rnacentral:rRNA from 1 species